CAGCAGUGAGGAAGGCAGGUACGUUAAUAGCGUACUGUUUGACGUUAGCUGCAGAAGAAGCACCGGCUAACUCCGUGCCAGCAGCCGCGGUAAUACGGAGGGUGCGAGCGUUAAUCGGAAUUACUGGGCGUAAAGCGCAUGCAGGUGGUUUGUUUAAGUCAGAUGUGAAAGACCCGGGGCGUCAACCUCGGAAUUGCAUUUGAAACUGGCAGACUAGAGUACUGUAGAGGGGGGUAGGAAUUUCAGGUGUAGCGGUGAAAUGCGUAGAGAUCUGAAGGAAUACCGGUGGCGAAGGCGGCCCCCUCGGACAGAUACUGACACUCAGAUGCGAAAGCGUGGGGAGCAAACAGGAUUAGAUACCCUGGUAG
rnacentral:rRNA from 1 species